rnacentral:rRNA from 1 species
UAGCUACAGGCUUAACACAUGCAAGUCGAGGGGCAUCACGGAGUAAGCUUGCUUACUUUGGUGGCGACCGGCGCACGGGUGCGUAACAGGUGUGCAAUCUGUCCAUAAUCGGGGAAUAGCCCAGCGAAAGUUGGAUUAAUGCUCCAUGUGAGUUUUAGAGGCAUCUCUUUAAUUUGAAACGUAAGGAUUAUGGGUGAGCACGCUUCUGAUUAGGUAGUUGGUGAGGUAACGGCUCACCAAGCCGACGAUCAGUAGGGGUUCUGAGAGGAAGGUCCCCCACACUGGAACUGAGACACGGUCCAGACUCCUACGGGAGGCAGCAGUGAGGAAUAUUGGUCAAUGGUCUGACGACUGAACCAGCCAUGCCGCGUGAAGGUCACGGCCCUAUGGGUCUUAAACUUCUUUUGCAAGGGAGCAAUAAGGUGUACGUGUACAUCGAUGAGAGUACCUUGCGAAUAAGCAUCGGCUAACUCCGUGCCAGCAGCCGCGGUAAUACGGGGGAUGCGAGCGUUAUCCGGAUUUAUUGGGUUUAAAGGGUGCGUAGGCGGUGUCUUAAGUCAGCGGUGAAAUUUAGGGGCUCAACCUUCUACCGUGCCGUUGAUACUGGGAUGCUGGAAUGCGGAUGCCGUGGGAGGAAUGUGUGGUGUAGCGGUGAAAUGCUUAGAUAUCACACAGAACACUGAUUUGGAAAGGCAUUUCAAGAAUCCGCUAUUGACGUUGAUGCACGAAAGCGUGGGGAUCAAACAGGAUUAGAUACCCUGGUAGUCCACGCUGUAAACGAUGAUGACUAACAGUCGGCGAUACACAGUCGGUGGCCAAGCGAAAGCGAUAAGUCAUCCACCUGGGGAGUACGACCGCAAGGUUGAAACUCAAAGGAAUUGACGGGGGCCCGCACAAGCAGCGGAGCAUGUGGUUUAAUUCGAAGCAACGCGAAGAACCUUACCAGGUCUUGACAUCCAAUUAAAACCUAAGAGAUUAGGUGUGAGCUUGCUCAAAUUGAGACAGGUGGUGCAUGGUUGUGGUCAGCUCGUGUCGUGAGAUGUUGGGUUAAGUCCCGCAGCGAGCGCAACCCCUAUCGUCCGUUACUAACAGGUGAUGCUGAGGAGUCAGACGAGACCGCCGGGGACAACUCGGAGGAAGGUGGGGAGGAGGUCAAAUCAUCAUGCCCCUUACGACCUGGGCUACACACGUGCUACAAUGGGUACAACAAAGGGCAGGGAAAUCGUAAGGUGGAGCGAAACCCAGAAAAGUACUCUCAGUUCAGAUUGUGGGCUGCAACCCGCCCACAUGAAGUUGGAGUUGCUAGUAAUCGCGGAUCAGCAUGCCGCGGUGAAUACGUUCCCGGGCCUU